CGACCUCAGGUCAGGCGGGGCCACCCGCUGAGUUUAA
rnacentral:rRNA from 3 species